rnacentral:rRNA from 1 species
UACGUAGGGGGCAAGCGUUGUCCGGAAUUAUUGGGCGUAAAGAGCGUGUAGGCGGCCCGGUAAGUCCGCUGUGAAAGUCGGGGGCUCAACCCUCGGAUGCCGGUGGAUACUGUCGGGCUAGAGUACGGAAGAGGCGAGUGGAAUUCCUGGUGUAGCGGUGAAAUGCGCAGAUAUCAGGAGGAACACCAAUUGCGAAGGCAGCUCGCUGGGACGUUACUGACGCUGAGACGCGAAAGCGUGGGGAGCAAACAGG